AAUCAACGCUGGCGGCGUGCCUCAGACAUGCAAGUCGAACGCGAAAGUUUCCUUCGGGGGAUGAGUAGAGUGGCGCACGGGUGAGUAACACGUAGGUAAUCUACCUUUGGAUGGGGAAUAACAAUCGGAAACGGUUGCUAAUACCGCAUAAUGCAGCGGCACCUAAUGGUGACAGUUGUUAAAGGCGGGGGAUCGAAAGACCUCGCGUCUGAAGAGGAGCCUGCGGCGAUUAGCUAGUUGGUAAGGUAACGGCUUACCAAGGCGACGAUCCGUAGCCGGCCUGAGAGGGCGGUCGGCCACACUGACACUGACAUACGGGUCAGACUCCUACGGGA
rnacentral:rRNA from 1 species